rnacentral:rRNA from 1 species
UACGGAGGGGGCUAGCGUUGUUCGGAAUUACUGGGCGUAAAGCGCACGUAGGCGGCUUUGCAAGUCAGAGGUGAAAGCCCGGGGCUCAACCCCGGAAUUGCCUUUGAGACUGCAUCGCUAGAAUUGUGGAGAGGUAAGUGGAAUUCCGAGUGUAGAGGUGAAAUUCGUAGAUAUUCGGAAGAACACCAGUGGCGAAGGCGACUUACUGGACACAUAUUGACGCUGAGGUGCGAAAAGCGUGGGGAGCAAACAGGG